UGCAAGAUCUGGCCUUAUCUGAUACAACUUUAGCGAAGAUGAUUAAUGCUGGACAAUAAAGAAGACAAAAACGGAUCUCAUUUACACAUGGCCUCUUGUAGAAGAAUUCAAAGGUUCAUCUUAAUUUAUUACUAGGGAUUAAACCGGAGACGACCUUGAUUCAGAGGGAUACUGAGUAUCUAGUUUGCGAACAGUGGUGCUGGUUCGGAAAUCUUUACUCAUGCUAGCAUCACUGAAGAGUCCCACUAAAGCAGUCUCAUUGGGAUUACUCAGGAGAGUGAUCAAGAUCAAGCCUAAUUACUGUAAAUAAGGUGAUACAGCUGGCAAGACACAUACCAUGUUAUAUGAGAACAAUACAAUCUUUGGACUAAAGGAAGGGUGUCCUUUUGAUGUUUACAGAGAGAGGUGGCGAGUUGCUUAGUCAAGGCUGUCAGCUUGAUGCCAAUACAUUGUUCCUUGCAUUGAAUCGGUGCCUUGAGAUGAACGAUUAAGGAAGCAGGAGGUUGAAGGGGCAGUGGAAGGAUCUAAACAGACAAAAAGUCCCAAAGAGUCAGUGGAUAUUGACAGUCUUACCAAGAUGAAGUAAGAACAAUUAGAAAAGUGAAG